CCUACGGGAGGCAGCAGUGAGGAAUAUUGGUCAAUGGGCGCGAGCCUGAACCAGCCAAGUCGCGUGAGGGAAGACGGUCCUAUGGAUUGUAAACCUCUUUUGUCGGGGAGCAAAAGACGCCACGCGUGGCGUUCCGCGAGUACCCGAAGAAUAAGCAUCGGCUAACUCGGUGCCAGCAGCCGCGGUAAUACGGAGGAUGCUAGCGUUAUCCGGAUUUAUUGGGUUAAAGGGGUUCGCAGGCGGAAGAUCAAGUCAGCGGUAAAAUUGAGAGGCUCAACCUCUUCGAGCCGUUGAAACUGGUUUUCUUGAGUGAGUGAGAAGUAUGCGGAAUGCGUGGUGUAGCGGUGAAAUGCAUAGAUAUCACGCAGAACUCCGAUUGCGAAGGCAGCAUACCGGCGCUCAACUGACGCUCAUGCACGAAAGUGUGGGUAUCGAACAGGAUUAGAUACCCCUGUAGUC
rnacentral:rRNA from 1 species